CUAACUGGGACCACCGGGGUUAGUGCGGGGGAGUGGGCCGGACUGUGGGCUGGGCCUCUGGGUUGGGGGUGGGAAUGAGGUGUGAUUAGGAAGGGGAGGCGGAGGGAGCCGGGAAUUUUGCCCAGGGAGGGGUGUCUGGGAGCGGAGGCAGCUGCAGUGGAAAAUUCCAGGGAGAUGGAGAGGCAGAGAAUGGGAAUCCUGCCCCAAGGCCCAAGGGAGUGCCUUGAGAAUCUAAGAGUUUGGACACUAGGGUCCCCAGGGACCACAGGAAAAAGAUCCAGGAAGCAGAAGGCCUGGAUCUAAUUCCCUUCCUGCACGGGAGAAGCAUCUCUUACCCUUUCCUGUCUGGUUGGACAGCAGAACCGGCCUCCUGACGUCUUAGCUUCAUGAGAAAGAAGCUAGAAGUGGAACUCAGGAUGAAUUUGGAACAAGUAGGAUGCUGAAAGCCUAACCCCUUAGUCCUUAGGGUUAGUCUCUGGGUCUCUGGGGCCAGCGGUGUUAAAUGAUGCCAGCUUGUGUUUGCUCUUUCCAGAGAACUACUUCUGGAGACCUUGUAGAGGCUUGCCUAUUCCUAGAGUUCCGUUACUCCUCAGUCCAACUGAGAAUUUCUCCCACUAGUUGAAUGGGGAAACCUGGUGCUUCUUACACAUUUUCUGGAGGCGGGAAAAAGGAAGCCAGGAGUGUGUCUGAAGAAAGCCUCUUCCCAACACUGGGGCACAUCCAUCAGGAGCACUGCCCAUCACAUUGUAUCCAUCAUCACAUUCCACAAGCUUUUAAGUAGAGACCCUUGACCUGCCUACCUGACUCGAGGCAAGAAAGAUCAGUGCGCGACUGGGAGCUCCUGAGGACACAGCAGUUAGAGAAAAGAAAGGGGAGACACUGGCACUAAACUAAUUGAUUUCAGAACAACAACCUUUGCCCAAACCGACCCUUCACACAGGGUAACUGAGGGGUCCAGGAACCUCGCCAACGCCGGUUCCCGAAGACUGUAGUUCCAGCCUGGCCGAAGAGCGCCACCUGGCGGUCCGCCCUCCCAACCUGGAUUCUCUUCGGCCCCGCGGGAGUUCUCGAAGCCUGAGCUAAACAGGGGCAGAACUGUCACCUCCCCCUGUACGUCAUUCCGAGGGCCCCGCCCCUGCUUGGAACGCGCCGCCUCCCGACGGGAGUGGCCCUAGCGCCUCCCCCGCAGAACGGCCGCCCUUCCUCUCUCACCGGCUGAAUGCCGCUCGGGUAGAAAAUCUGCUUAACGUUCCCCCCAGGAUCCGCCCCACCUCGUAGCCCACAGGGAGCCCGCCCCUCCCCCCAUGGGAAUCUGCCCCU
rnacentral:lncRNA from 1 species